rnacentral:pre_miRNA from 1 species
AGGACCUGGAUAUAGAGGAAUACAACACCCGGAGGUUCCACCUCGUAGAGCACAAGCCACCGUCAAGACAGAGUAAGAGUCUCACUGAGUGUCAUGAGAAGCUCAGCAAGGUCUAGGCUUGGUUUAAGUUCCAAGACAAGGUCAUUGGUAAGUGUUUCAAGAUGGUCACAUCUAUACAGAAGAAGUUGAGCCGCUCCUCUACUAGCACUACUGCACCA